rfam:Lactobacillus gasseri ATCC 33323, complete genome.
UUCGGUUAAGGUCCCGAAAGGAUUCGCUUUUUAACGAAGAUGCCUUGUAACCGAAAGAUGGGGGACUCUAUG